CAUCAUUUUCCAUCUGUUUUAUUAUCAAUAUAUUUUUUUAUUUUACGUGCAUGUUAAUUUUAAUUUAUUAUGAAUAAAAGAGAAAAUUGCAGCAGUCAUGUGACCUCGCUGUGUAAAAAAUAAUAAAUAAUUAUUUUAAAAAAAAAACUACUGAACACCUGUUUGAGUUGACAGUAACUUUUUUAAAUUUUUUUACAGCUGCAUUAAAUUUUAUUAUUUUGAAAGAAAAUUAAUAAUAAUAACAAUAUUGUAUUAAUAAUUUAAAGAAAGAAAAUACGAAAUAAAAGACUGUAUUUGUCCAGUAUGACAGUAUGAAUAAAUGCAAGUAAUGCAAGUGGGCGUAAUGUGAGAUGAAAAAUCAAGGGUAAGGUAAAUU